rnacentral:rRNA from 1 species
GAGUUUGAUCAUGGCUCAGGAUGAACGCUGGCGGCGUGCCUAAUACAUGCAAGUCGAACGAAACUUCUUUAUCACCGAGUGCUUGCACUCACCGAUAAAGAGUUGAGUGGCGAACGGGUGAGUAACACGUGGGCAACCUGCCCAAAAGAGGGGGAUAACACUUGGAAACAGGUGCUAAUACCGCAUAACCAUAGUUACCGCAUGGUAACUAUGUAAAAGGUGGCUAUGCUACCGCUUUUGGAUGGGCCCGCGGCGCAUUAGCUAGUUGGUGAGGUAAAGGCUUACCAAGGCGAUGAUGCGUAGCCGAACUGAGAGGUUGAUCGGCCACAUUGGGACUGAGACACGGCCCAAACUCCUACGGGAGGCAGCAGUAGGGAAUCUUCCACAAUGGGCGAAAGCCUGAUGGAGCAACGCCGCGUGGGUGAAGAAGGUCUUCGGAUCGUAAAACCCUGUUGUUAGAGAAGAAAGUGCGUGAGAGUAACUGUUCACGUUUCGACGGUAUCUAACCAGAAAGCCACGGCUAACUACGUGCCAGCAGCCGCGGUAAUACGUAGGUGGCAAGCGUUAUCCGGAUUUAUUGGGCGUAAAGGGAACGCAGGCGGUCUUUUAAGUCUGAUGUGAAAGCCUUCGGCUUAACCGGAGUAGUGCAUUGGAAACUGGGAGACUUGAGUGCAGAAGAGGAGAGUGGAACUCCAUGUGUAGCGGUGAAAUGCGUAGAUAUAUGGAAGAACACCAGUGGCGAAAGCGGCUCUCUGGUCUGUAACUGACGCUGAGUUCGAAAGCGUGGGGAGCAAACAG